rnacentral:rRNA from 1 species
UACGGGGGGGCAAGCGUUGUUCGGAAUUACUGGGCGUAAAGGGCUCGUAGGCGGCCAACUAAGUCAGACGUGAAAUCCCUCAGCUUAACUGGGGAACUGCGUCUGAUACUGGAUGGCUUGGAUUCGGGAGAGGGAUGCGGAAUUCCAGGUGUAGCGGUGAAAUGCGUAGAUAUCUGGAGGAACACCGGUGGCGAAGGCGGCAUCCUGGACCGAUAUUGACGCUGAGGAGCGAAAGCUAGGGGAGCAAACGGGG